rnacentral:rRNA from 1 species
UACGUAGGGGGCAAGCGUUGUCCGGAAUCAUUGGGCGUAAAGAGCGUGUAGGCGGCUCGGUAAGUCCGCUGUAAAAGUCCAGGGCUCAACCCUGGAAAGCCGGUGGAAACUGUCGGGCUAGAGUCCGGAAGAGGCGAGUGGAAUUCCUGGUGUAGCGGUGAAAUGCGCAGAUAUCAGGAGGAACACCAAUGGCGAAGGCAGCUCACUGGCCCGAUACUGACGCUGAGGCACGAAAGCGUGGGGAGCAAACAGG